rnacentral:rRNA from 1 species
UACGUAGGGUGCAAGCGUUGUCCGGAAUUAUUGGGCGUAAAGAGCGUGUAGGCGGCCCGAUUAGUCCGCUGUGAAAGUCCAGGGCUCAACCCUGGAAUGCCGGUGGAUACUGUCGGGCUAGAGUCCGGAAGGGGCGAGUGGAAUUCCUGGUGUAGCGGUGAAAUGCGCAGAUAUCAAGAGGAACACCAGUGGCGAAGGCGAGUCCCUGGACAACUUCUGACGCUGAGGCACGAAAGCUAGGGGAGCAAACAGG